UAUGGGUGUCCCACAGAGUUCUUAAUUCUAGCACCUUCCCUAGAUUGAUCAUUUUCAGUUUAUCCUAUAUAUAUCUUGCUUGUACAUAGUUGUUUGCUUAGGGUCACACAGCUGGUAAAUGUCUAAGACAUAUUUGAACUCAAGUCUUCCUGACUUCGAGCCCAGUGCUCUAUCCAUUGCACCACCUAGAGAAACUAUGGGCAGAGUGGUUUCUACUCACUUCAUACCACCGCCACUGCCACCACCAUCACCAUCAUCAUCACCUCCACCAUCACCAUCACCAUCACCAUCACCAUCACCAUUACCAUCACCUCCAUCAUCACCUCCACCAUCACCAUCACCAUCACCAUUACCAUCACCUCCACCAUCACCAUCACCAUCACCAUCACCAUCACCAUCACCUCCACCAUCAUCUCCACCAUCACCAUCACCAUCACCAUCAUCAUCACCUCCACCAUCACCAUCACCAUCACCAUCACCAUCACCAUCACCAUUACCAUCACCUCCAUCAUCACCUCUACCAUCACCAUCACCAUCACCAUCACCAUUACCAUCACCUCCACCAUCACCAUCACCAUCAUCAUCACCUCCACCAUCACCAUCACCAUCACCAUCACCGUCACCAUCACCAUCACCAUUACCAUCACCUCCAUCAUCACCUCCACCAUCACCAUCACCGUCACCAUCACCUCCACCAUCAUCUCCACCAUCACCAUCACCAUCACCAUUACCAUCACCUCCACCAUCACCUCCACCAUCACCAUCACCAUCACCAUCACCAUCACCAUCACCAUCACCUCCACCAUCAUCUGCACCAUCACCAUCACCAUCACCAUUACCAUCACCUCCAUCAUCACCUCCACCAUCACCAUCACCGUCACCAUCACCUCCACCAUCAUCUCCACCAUCACCAUCACCAUCACCAUUACCAUCACCUCCACCAUCACCUCCACCAUCACCAUCACCAUCACCAUCACCAUCACCAUCACCAUCACCUCCACCAUCAUCUGCACCAUCACCAUCACCAUCACCAU
rnacentral:lncRNA from 1 species